UCAUUUGCAAUCUGGACGCGGAAGAGUGAACAUCUCCUGCUCUGACUGCAGCUGAGAGGGACUGCUGUGCGAGGACUGGGCCGCCUGUGAGUGUUUUGGGACCUGGGUGGCAGCACCCGCUGCUCGUUGAGUAGAUUUGCCUUAAAGUUCUCAAGUGAGAUCUAUACAAGGGUCAGGAUGUCCGAGACCGAGCCAUGGAUCAGGGCUGGAGGUCCAUGGGAAGCCCCUGUCCAUCGCCUCCCUGCCUCAUGGAUCAAACAAUGGCUGUGGCAUCCUCCAACCUCCAGACCCAAGGUUGAAGACUUGGAGAGGCAUUAUGCAGGACUGUUAGAAGACAGCACUACCAGUCCCUCCAGUUGCUGCUCUCGCCAGCGCAUCCUCCUGGCCAUCCUCAUCAUGGUGGCCCUGACAGUCAUGGCACUGCUGCUACUGUGGAACUACCAGUGCAUCAUGGUGUGGCACCUCUGCCAGGAAGAGCACUCUGGCUUCCCUAAGAUGAUGGGAGGGGGUAUAGGACUGGCACGUUGGGGGAGAGACUAGGGCUUUGUGCAGGUUUAGGGAGUGAUAUUGCGAAAGCACAUUAACCCUAUCCAAACAUAUACACUAGCUAGCUCAUUUUUGUCCUGAUUUUGUGUUUGUUUUUCUGCUUGGAUUCUAUGGUGCCAUACAUUUAGCAUAAUGUUAGUUUUUCCAUAUAAGUUAUGAACAGGAGCCAGGUUUUUCAGUUACUGUCAGAUUUUUGUUUGUUUUAAACUCAGGUUCAGAAAUAAACAAAGCCAAAAGUAUGUGGACAGCUCAUUCCAAAAUCAUGGGCAUUUAAUAUGGUGUUGGUCCUCCACUCUUCUGGGAAGGAAACUAGAUGUUAGAACUUUGCUGCAGGGACUUGCUUCCAUUCAGCCACGAGCAUUAGUGAGGUCGGGCACUGAUGUUGUGUGAUCGUAGUCUGCGUUCCGAUUCAUCCCAAAGGUGUUCGAUUGGGUUUGAAGACACGGCUCUGCUGGCCAGUCAAGUUCUUCCACACUGAUCUCGAAAAACCAUUUCUGUAUGGACCUCGCUUUGUGCACAGGGGCAUUGUCAUGCUGAAACAGUAAUGGGCCUUACCCAAACUGUUGCCACAAAGUUGGAAGCGCAGAAUCGUCUAGAAUGCCGUAUGCUGUUGCAUUAAGAUUUCCCUUUACUGGAACUAAGGGGCUUAGCCCGAACCAUGAAAAACCGCCCCAGACCAUUAUUUCUCCUCCACUAAACUUUACAGCACUAUGCACUCGGCCAUCCCGUUCUGUGAGCUUGUGUGGCUUACAACUUCGCGGCUGAGCCAUUGUUGCUCCUAGAAGUUUCCACUUCACAAUAACAGCACUUACAGUUGACCGGGGCAGCUCUAGCAGGGCAGAAAUUUGACAAACUGGCUUGUUGGAAAGGUGCAUCCUAUGACGGUGCCACAUUGAAAGUCACUGAGCUCUUCUUCAGUAUGGGCCAAUCUACUGUCAAUGUUUGUCUAUGGAGAGUGCGUGGAGGUGUGCUCAAUUUAUUAGAACUGUCAGCAACGGAUGUGGGUGAAAUAGCUAAAUCCACUAAUUUGAAGGGGUGUCCACAUACUUUUGUAUAAAACAACACACUUUCAAUGGUCUAUUUUUGCCAUGUUGUGUAUUACUCAAGCUGGAGUAUAUAAGCUCUUAUGUUCUUAUUUCUUUUGUGAAUAUUAGAGGAUGAUUUUAUAUUUUGUAAGUGUUCCUACACUAGAAAUAAAGAUACUUGUUUGUCAUAUUAAGCUCGACGCAUGUUUGCCAACCUACUAUAGUUUAUUGUAUUUACCACAAGGGGGAGUUAUUGUCCAUAAAUAAAACAUCAAGUCCCAGCUCUCAGAUGUUUCAAGGUGCAGCACUAACUGUUGUUUUGCAUGUCUUUUGGGGUUGAAGGUGUUCUCACUGAUUUUCCUUCUAAUUUAAACCAAGGGUUGGAUAAAAAAAAACUGUGGCUCUCAAA